rnacentral:rRNA from 1 species
CCUACGGGAGGCAGCAGUGAGGAAUAUUGGUCAAUGGACGAGAGUCUUAACCAGCCAAGUAGCGUGAAGGAUGACUGCCCUAUGGGUUGUAAACUUCUUUUAUAUGGGAAUAAAAUGUUCCACGUGUGGGAUUUUGUAUGUACCAUCUGAAUAAGGAUCGGCUAACUCCGUGCCCGCAGCGGCGGUAAUACGGAGGGUCCGAGCGUUAUCCGGAUUUAUUGGGUUUAAAGGGAGCGUAGGUGGAUUGUUAAGUCAGUUGUGAAAGUUUGCGGCUCAACCGUAAAAUUGCAGUUGAAACUGGCAGUCUUGAGUACAGUAGAGGUGGGCGGAAUUCGUGGUGUAGCGGUGAAAUGCUUAGAUAUCACGAAGAACUCCGAUUGCGAAGGCAGCUCACUGGACUGCAACUGACACUGAGGCUCGAAAGUGUGGGUAUCAAACAGGAUUAGAUACCCCUGUAGUC